UGGGGAAUUUUGCACAAUGGAGGAAACUCUGAUGCAGCGACGCCGCGUGAGUGAUGAAGAUCUUCGGAUUGUAAAACUCUGUCCUUAGUGAAGAUAAUGACAGUAACUAAGAAGCAAGCCCUGGCUAAAUACGUGCCAGCAGCCGCGGUAAUACGUAUGGGGCAAGCGUUGUCCGGAAUUAUUGGGCGUAAAGGGUACAUAGGCGGUUUAAUAAGUCCUAAUUAAAAGGCUAUGGCUCAACCAUAGUAUGGUUAGGAAACUGUUGAACUUGAGUAGAUGAGGGGAAAGUGGAAUUCCAUGUGUAGCGGUGAAAUGCGUAGAUAUAUGGAGGAACACCAAUGGCGAAGGCAACUUUCUGGAAUCAAACUGACGCUGAGGUACGAAGGCGUGGGGAGCAAACAGG
rnacentral:rRNA from 1 species